rnacentral:misc_RNA from 1 species
GAUGAAGAACGCAGCGAAAUGCGAUAAGUAAUGUGAAUUGCAGAAUUCAGUGAAUCAUCGAAUCUUUGAACGCACCUUGCACCCUUUGGACUGCUCCAAAGGGUAUGCUCGUUUGAGUGUCAUUGUACUCUCACACUCUCUGAUCCUUUGGAUUUGGGGAGCAGUGGACUUGGGUGCUUGCUGCUUCCUUGUGGCUCACCUGAAAUGCAUCAGUGCAUCUCUCGAUUGGACAUAGUACGGCGUGAUAAGUGUCUUCGCCGGCACCUCAUAUGAGGGUGGCCGAUCGGGAGCUCUGUGCUUUCAAACCGUCUUCGGACAACGCUGACAACUUGACCUCAAAUCGAGUAGGACUACCCGCUGAACUUAAGCAUAUCAAUAAGCGGAGA